rnacentral:rRNA from 1 species
UACGUAGGGCGCAAGCGUUGUCCGGAAUUACUGGGCGUAAAGCGUGCGCAGGCGGUUUUGUAAGCCAGAUGUGAAAUCCCCGGGCUUAACCUGGGAAUGGCAUUUGGGACUGCAAGGCUCGAGUGCGGCAGAGGAGACUGGAAUUCCUGGUGUAGCAGUGAAAUGCGUAGAUAUCAGGAGGAACACCGAUGGCGAAGGCAGGUCUCUGGGCUGACACUGACGCUCAUGCACGAAAGCGUGGGGAGCAAACAGG